GUGCUUGCUUUGGCAACACAUCCACUAAAAUCAGAACAAUACAGAGAAGAUCAGCAUGGCCCUGCACAAGGAUGAUGACAUGCAAAUUCCUGAAGCGUACCCUGAAACU